AUGGCUAAGCAAGACCUUUCCUUCAAUGAAGAGGAACACCUUUCCUUCAAUGAAGAGGAACUCCUCCUUCAACAGGCUAAAGCCAAGCAGAAACUGCUUCUAGCGCAGGCUAGGGCCCAACAAGAAGCUGACCUAGCGCAGGCUAGGACCCAACAAGAAGCUGACCUAGCGCAGGCUAGGGCCCAACAAGAAGCUGACCUAGCACAGGCCAGGGCCCAGAGAGAAAUAGAGCUUGCAAUGGCUGAAGCCAAGCAAGAUGAGCUGCAACGGGAUCUAGAUCUGCUUCAAGUAAAAAGAGACACAGCACAAAAGAUAGUCAGAGCUAACAUUCUAGCCAAAGCCCUAUCACAGGAACUAACACAAGAAAACCUUAGUUUCCUGCCAACACAAGAGCCUACAGCAAAGGUUUCAGCACAUCUGCAACUGGAAUCACCUGUAGUGCAGAGUCAUAUCUCCUUUCGCCACCUUGAAGAUCGCUCGCCUGUUCCAGUGUUCGCAACUUCAAGGCCAGCCCAUUCCUCAGAAGUACAGCAAAGCACGGCCGGGAGAGUGCCAUCUCUGUGGGAACGAAAGGAUGACAUCUUUCAACAACAUCCAGAUGUCCAUCCACAUUGGCAAGGCAUGGCCGGGAGUGAACCACCACAUUCAUCCCUGCAUACCAAGUCAAUUCUCCCAUCGCUGAAGAUAAAGGCUUCAGAGGUCCUGCCUGCCAGCAAUCUGCUGAACCCAGCAUCGCCUACCAUCGCGACAAGAUGUGUUCAACCGAAGAACAUUGAGUUUGUCACGCCACAUCACACUACUCAGAUGUACCCUUACACACUGGAGUCUCAAUUGGGUUCCCUCUUGAGAAAUCCAAGAAGAGACAUCAGAGACAAAGGCGUCCAGAAAUUCACUGACCGACCGGAUGACUACCUUCUGUGGAAAAUCACCUUCAUGAGGGCCAUUCGAGAUUUCAAGCUAGAAGCGGAUGAAGAACUGUCCCUUCUUAUGGCGUGGCUUGGACCCAGCUCAGCUGAGCAAGUAAAAAGACUUUAUGCUGCUCAUGUAGCAGACCCCCAAAGAGCAUUGUCCACAGCGUGGUCUCGCUUGGAUCAGCGCUUCGGUGCAAGCACUGAGAUAGAAGCAUCCCACAGAAAAAGCCCACACAGUUCCUCCCGCCGUCUAUGCCCAGUGUCCUUGGUAACUUACGUAUCCAGCAAACGAAUCACACCCGUCUUCAGGAAGUUCCCCAACAAGAUCCCAAGCGUUCGUCCAGAUUACCUUGCCCAACGCAAUUAACCAUUGAUUCUAGACUCCAUUUUAUGCCAGUUCAUAACUCCUCAUCGCUGUCAGCUGCUAUCCUAAUUCCAGGUGCUUCCUCAUCAUCAUCCUCAUCAGAACUAGAACACCUUUGACUACGCCCCACAGCAUCCCCAGCUGUGGAUCCCGUUCCAUCCCUCCAGCCCGUCCACGGGUCCGAUCCUGCAACCCGCCAGUCGCCUCCCAUGCUAUCAUUGCCAGUGACACCCAAAUCCUCCCUCACACGAGUCCAUUCCAUAUCAUCCUCCUCUGAGCUAACCAUCUCUUCCUCCAUUCCCUCGGUAAAACCCUCAAAGGAGUCUUCGUCUGUUGGUUCUGCAAAUAAGUCUCGGAGCCGUUUCCUUUCGCGCUCCUCAAAAGAGUCUGACUCUCGAGGAGUCUUACGACCUCGUCUCCUAGUAUCAGAGCCAGAAGGCUCAACCAUAACAGAUAUGUUCCAAGAUCUUCUUGGAUACCUGAAACCAUGGAUAAUAGCAAAUUCUAUAUUUUGACUAUACAGCUGGGAGUUUGCUCUCUGUGUGACCUAAUUUCAUAUUUUCUUAACUAACUGGCCAGAUAGUUCACACCCAGGCAUUAAACUUAUAUUGUCCUUAAUUGGAAGUAAAUGUCCUGCUAUACUAUGUCAGUUCCAUCACUCCCCCUACCUGACUUUCCUAAGUGACAUUUUCUAAUUGCCACUUACAGAGGAUCACUCCCUACAGACAGCAAACCAGGAGAGGUUUGCAUCCUUCCUGCAUAUGCACAUUAUGGCUUCUUUUUGUGUAUUCUGCUAGAUUCAACACUUCUGAUCAUAGAACACAGACAAAGGAAGAUUCCUGUCUGCUUCAUACAUUUUUUUAAAGGCUAGGAACUGGAAGACAAUUUUCCCC
ensembl:lncRNA